GCUUCUUUCCCAUUCGAAACCCGAACUAAUUUCGGCUUUUUGCACGAAGAAAGGUUCGAGCCAUCGCUUCCGCUCGAAGUCGAGCAAGGGUUCGAGCGAUAACCCAAGUAGCAGAGCCGAAGUUUUUCAGAGAUUUUUCUGUGUGCCAAAGCGAGAUGCCCUGUCUUCUCUCUCUAGAUUUUGGACAGCAAACCGCUGCGCGUGUAGAGGUGUGUGCGUGUGACGAACAACGAUGGAUGAAAAACGCGAGGAGCGAGGUCCGAAGUCUUUCGUUGGUCACACACACAUGCAUCUACCGUUGGAUUGCGCUACAUCGAGUCUACCCAUCUCUCUCGAUCUACCAUGAUUUUUUCUGCUAUCGCACUCAUCUGGGAGUUAGGCAUCCUCAGUCUGCCCAGAACUUUCGUUGUGGAAGGAUGUGCGGGAGUGAUGUGCGAUUUCUUGUGUCCCCUACUUUCCUUGUUUACGUUUUGCGCAGUGUUGCUUCUUCUUCCAUUGUGGAAUGAUUUAUCCUAGCUAACUUGUUGAGUUACAGGUGCAUGCGCCAUUCAUCAACGCCUACGUGUUGGCAUCAUCAACAAUCUUCAAAGUGGGUGACGGAAAGAAAUUGUUUUCCAGUUUUAAAAUAUUAAGCGUUCAGCACAACUCAGCCACAAAACAACGCACUGGAUUGCGCUAAGAACCUGUCGAAACGCGCGCAGCCCCCGGGAGCGGUAGGAGAAAGGAAGAACGAGAGGAGAAAAAACUAAAGCCAGCGCGCAGCUCUGAUGGUACCCCGUACGCGGUAAGAAGAAAAAAGAUCGAGAGGAGGAAGAACGGUAAAUUUGGAAGGGGGAGACCGUUCUGCCGUCUCCACAGUGUGAGUAUGCCAAAGCACGUGUUGGAAGGGAAAGAAAAAGUGUGGAAUAAACCGCAUGCGAAUGUGUGCAUACAGCAAAAGUAAA